UACGAAGGGGGCUAGCGUUGUUCGGAAUUACUGGGCGUAAAGCGCGCGUAGGCGGCUUUGUAAGUCAGGUGUGAAAUCCCGGGGCUCAACCUCGGAACUGCCUUUGAUACUGCAAGUCUCGAGUCCGAUAGAGGUGAGUGGAAUUCCUAGUGUAGAGGUGAAAUUCGUAGAUAUUAGGAAGAACACCAGUGGCGAAGGCGGCUCACUGGAUCGGUACUGACGCUGAGGUGCGAAAGCGUGGGGAGCAAACAGG
rnacentral:rRNA from 1 species